rfam:Gossypium hirsutum cultivar TM-1 chromosome 4, whole genome shotgun sequence
UGCUAAAACUUUUAUCAAUUUGUACUGUUAAAAAUUAACAUAAUUGAUGAAAUAAUCAAACAGUGGCAUAUGGCGUGCCACAUAUACCUCAUGCAGAUGUGCAAAGAACAAAUUUUAAUAGUAAAAAUGAAAGAAAAUUUUAAUA